rnacentral:rRNA from 1 species
CACUCUGCGGGAGGCAGCAGUGGGGAAUUUUGGACAAUGGGCGAAAGCCUGAUCCAGCAAUGCCGCGUGAGUGAAGAAGGCCUUCGGGUUGUAAAGCUCUUUUGUCAGGGAAGAAACGGUGAAAGCUAAUAUCUUUUGCUAAUGACGGUACCUGAAGAAUAAGCACCGGCUAACUACGUGCCAGCAGCCGCGGUAAUACGUAGGGUGCAAGCGUUAAUCGGAAUUACUGGGCGUAAAGCGUGCGCAGGCGGUUUUGUAAGUCUGAUGUGAAAUCCCCGGGCUCAACCUGGGAAUUGCAUUGGAGACUGCAAGGCUAGAAUCUGGCAGAGGGGGGUAGAAUUCCACGUGUAGCAGUGAAAUGCGUAGAUAUGUGGAGGAACACCGAUGGCGAAGGCAGCCCCCUGGGUCAAGAUUGACGCUCAUGCACGAAAGCGUGGGGAGCAAACAGGAUUAGAAACCCCGGUAGUCCCAUGAU